CAUCAGAGGCCAGCUUGGCAUUGUCGAUCUGCACAGCCAGCCUGGCAUUCUCAGACUUAGCACACAGAAUCUGAAACAAUAAUUCUGAUGUGAGAUCCACUUGAACUUGAGCAUGUCU
rnacentral:miRNA from 1 species